AGCCACUCCGGGUAGCUGAUGUGAUUCACCUGUAGUAUGAAGUGGUACAAUCCAUUCUCCACCCACCAUGUUCUGCUGAGUAGGUAGGCCCAAUCUGCCUGGUUUGGGAUCUCACACGGCUCCCCCAGAAUUCUGUGAAAUGCAGAUUGAAAGGAACAAAGGAAAAGUUCCAUGCACUUGCCUUGGAUUUGCUGGAUUCAGAUCUCAGCUUAGUUACAGUGGUUUAAUAGCAUCUCUCUUCAGUCACUUCAUUUCCGAAAGGGUUUCAGAAGCUAGAACUGGAUCAGCAGUUAAUCUGCUGCAAGGACCAACAGGGUUCUUGUGACGUCAAGAGCGUCCGUAAAUCCUAACAUGAAGUGUAUUUAAUCAAGGACUUAUAUGGCAGUUUGUGUAUAGCAAAUGACCCCCCCCCCCAAAUUUUUUUUUUUAAGUUGGUCAAGACAGUGGUGUAACCUGUGCCUUUUUGCUAGCAUGUGAACACAGACAAGUGCUAUACAGAUAUUUAUAUGGCCAAGUGCUAUAUAGAUAUUUAUAUGGCACAGUCUUGUGCAUCUUUACUCAGCCAUCCCAUUGAGUUUAAUGUGAUUUAUUUCAGGGUAGCUUGACUGGCGCCUUCAUUAUAUACCUUUAGGAGCCAGGCAAAAACAUUCCUUUUUAACCAGGCCUUUGGUUGACCUGAUGGACACCCCAUACCCUUUUAAAAUGUGGCUCUUUUUUGGGGGGGUGCUAUUGGGCGGUAUAUUCAAUAAAUAAAAAUAUAAAUAAUAAAAUUAUUCUCAGAUAAGUAUGUAGAGCCUCAGCCAGCAUGACCAAUGGCCAGUGGUGAUAGGAAUUGGAAUUCAACAACACAGCGGCCACAGGUUCCCCAUCUUUCUCCUCUGGAUACAUCAGAUUCUGAAUAAAUAAAGGUACUGUUUAGUUUUUAUAUCUGCCUUUUAUGCAGACUAGUAUGCCGGUCUACAGACGUAUGAGACAAGUGCAGCGUAUUUUUUUUACAACUCGGCUGGAUCAUGGUUAGACUCUUGACAGUGGCUUAUUAUAGAUAUAAAGUAAAUAAAACUCCCAGCCACUCUCAUUGCAAUAAUUUUUUUUUAAUUUUGUGAAUAGAACUGCUGCUCACUUACUGAAUAUUUCAGUUUCCUAUUAAAUAUCCUCCUCUCGCCUUGCAACUUUGACAUGUCCUGUUGAGCGCGUUGUUUACCUGACUGCAUUCCAGCAGUAGUUAUGAAUGACAUUUGAGCACGCUGUUUUUUUAUCAAGUACAGUGGUACCUCUGUUUAAGAACAGUCCGGUUUAUGAACGAUUCGGUUUACAAACUCUGCAAAACCGGAAGUAGUGUCCCGGUUUGCGAACCUUUACCUCGGUCUAAGAACGGAAUCUGAACAGUGGAAGGGCACCGGAGGCGGGAGGCAUCAUUAGGGAAAGCGCGCUUCGGUUGAAGAAUGGUUUCAGUUUAAGAACGGACUUUCGGAACGGAUUAAUUUCGUAAACUGAGGUACCACUGUACAUGCAGAAAUCUGUAGUGUGUGCUUUUACUUUCUGUUUGAAGUUGUACAAAGCACAGGCUCUAAAAUACCUUCCAUUCCAGAGUUGGCUUAUUUAUGCUAUUAGAAGAUCAGGGUUUUCCCCCAUCCCUCAGUGCUUAUUCUUGUAUAACCUCACUGAAUAAUGACCCUCACUUGGGGCAAAAAAGAGGGAAGAGCAGCUCUGAGCUAAACCAUGGGAACAGCUUUGAAGUAAAACACACCUACUGCUUUGUUCAUGUGAAUGGUCCCGAGAGUAAUAUGAGCAAGUGCCUGGCAUAGGAUUGAACUUGAAACAGCAGGUUUAAACUUGCUUUAAACCAGACAUAGGCAAACUCAGCCUGCCAGAUUUUUUUGGGACUACAACUCCCAUCAUCCCUAGCUAACAGGACCAGCGGUCAGGGAUGAUGGGAAUUGUAGUCCAAAUGCAGUUGGAGACCCAACGUUGGGAAACACUGAUUUAAAGCAAGACGGUCUUUUUGGUUUGUACAUCAAAGUCUAAUUCACUUGAAUGUUUAGUUACACAAGGUGGGGGGGAAUUGGUUAUGCUAACUGUCGCUCAGGAAACAUCCAUCACAUCAUCAUAACUUGUAUUUGUGCAUAAUACCUGUGCCAGAUUAAGAUUUCACAUACUGGUUAUCUAAUGGUCAAGUUUCUGUUAAUAUGUCUGUCUUGAAUACAGUCAAAUCCUUAUUUUUACUUAUGAGGAAAGUAGUACAUCUUUGUGGUUCUGACUGGUGUAACUUUUUAUUUAUUUAAAAAAAUACCUUUUAACUCUGAUCCAGGGCCAAAUAGGAGCUUAAGACUCAUAGCAACUGUAAAAUAUACUUAAAUAAAUCUGUUAUUAAUAUACAGAAAUGUUUGCUGAGUUUAUACUUAAAAGAAAGCUGCUUGCUCAAGCCAUCACUAGGUGAACUUUGAGGUUACACAGAUAGAAGCCGAGGGCAUCAUCACUGGGUACGCAAACUGGCAAUUACUUGCUGCCAGAGAUUUUCUCUUGGAAAUGAGCCACAAGAGGGGCCAAACUCCCCAAUAGACUUUCUCUUGCAGUUUGUGGGUCUCUCGGAGAGUGCUUUUCAUGUGAUAUUCACGUGCCAGAAGGGUAUCUCUGGGGGGGGGUAAGAAUUGGUGCUUGGUGAGAUUUGGGUUUUGCUCUAUUGUAAUUUUAUUUGUAUGCCAACUUUCCCAAAGCACCUGAGUAUAUACUCCCCUUCUGCAAAUGAUCUGAAGACCAGGUCAAGGCCUCUCCUGAAGAAAAAUCAUUUUUUUGUCCUCUCCCACCCUCAGUGCCAGCAAAGGGGAAACUAGCUACACACCGUAUAACUUAAAAUUUGGCCACCAAAGAUUUCUUGGGAUGGGCUCUACGGUUGCUACUCAUUCAAUCCAGCUUCACACCACCACAUUCACAUGAAACCUCAGCAGUGUCCAGUCUAUUCAAGGAAGCAAAAGUCACCAGUGAGAUCUGGAUUGUUUUAUUUUUUAUUUUGUACAUCAUAUACAGUUUAUAAUAAAGUUAAUAUCAAUUGCA